rnacentral:rRNA from 1 species
UAUCUCUGUAGAGUCUGCAUAUCAAUAAGCGGAGGAAAAGAAACUAACAAGGAUUCCCUUAGUAACGGCGAGUGAAGCGGGAAGAGCUCAAAUUUGAAAUCUUCAAGGUUCUACCUUGACGAAUUGUAGUUUAAAGAAGUGUUUUCUGUUAGAUGAGUAGCAAAAGUUCCUUGGAAUGGGACAUCAUAGAGGGUGAGAAUCCCGUAUUUGGUUAUUCAUUCUAGCUUUGUGAUACACUUUCAAAGAGUCGGAUUGUUUGGGAAUGCAGUCCAAAAUGGGUGGUAAAUUUCAUCUAAAGCUAAAUAUUGGCGAGAGACCGAUAGCGAACAAGUACCGUGAGGGAAAGAUGAAAAGAACUUUGAAAAGAGAGUUAAACAGUACGUGAAAUUGUCAAAAGGGAAGCGUUUGACACCAGUGUUGUUUUUCCGAAAAUCAAUUACGAAUGGCUUGAUUCUGUGUUGUAUUGACCUUAUCAGCUUUCUUCACUUUUUUCGAGUCUUUCUUAAUGCACUUUUCGGUUAACAAGUUAACAUCAAUUUCUUUUGUUGUAAAAGAGUAUUCGGAAGGUGGCUUUCUUUUCGGAGAAAGUGUUUAUAGCCCUAUACUUCUACAAUCGGAGAGAUUGAGGUCUGCAGCGUAGAUCCCUCGGGGUUAGAUACACUUGUGCUAAGUUGUAGCUCUUCAUAGACAACUUGUUGACUAUGUUUAGUCAUGCGGCUUACUCGCUUAUGCUAUUUUACCUACGCUUAGGAUGUUGACGAGACUGUCGAUCUC